GCUUUUCUCAUUUGUCUGUUCUGUUUUGUAUCUCUUUUGUCUUGUUCCACUUUACUGGAUGAUUUUCUCAAUUUAAUUAGACAGAUAUUAUAUCAAAAAAUUUUUUAAUUAUAUAGGCAUGCCUUGGAGAUACUGUGGGCUUGGUUCCAGACCAUGGCAGUAAAGCAAAUAUGGCCAUAAAAUGAGUCAACAGCACAUCAGCAGCAGCUGCCCUCAGACAUCCCAGCCAUCUGGUUGCCACUAUGUUCAGUUGUUAAGAAAAAUAAGCCACUCGCUGU
rnacentral:lncRNA from 1 species